GAUCAUGGCUCAGGACGAACGCUGGCGGCAUGCCUAACACAUGCAAGUCGAACGGAGCACCCUUGACUAAGUUUUCGGACGAGAGAGAGGAAUGCUUAGUGGCGGACGGGUGAGUAACGCGUGAGCAAUCUGCCUUUCAGAGGGGGACAACAGCUGGAAACGGCUGCUAAUACCGCAUAAUAUAUACUGGCCGCAUGACCGGUAUAUCAAAGAUUUAU
rnacentral:rRNA from 1 species